ACGAACGCUGGCGGCGUGCUUAACACAUGCAAGUCGAGCGGUAAGGCCCUUUCGGGGGUACACGAGCGGCGAACGGGUGAGUAACACGUGGGUGACCUGCCCUCAGCUCUGGGAUAAGCCUGGGAAACCGGGUCUAAUACUGGAUAUGACUCCAUGACGCAUGUUGUGGGGUGGAAAGCCUUGUGCGGCUGAGGAUGGGCCCGCGGCCUAUCAGCUUGUUGGUGGGGUGANGGCCUACCAAGGCGACGACGGGUAGCCGGCCUGAGAGGGCGACCGGCCACACUGGGACUGAGACACGGCCCAGACCCCUA
rnacentral:rRNA from 1 species